rnacentral:rRNA from 1 species
CCUAGCGAUAGGAUGCUAAUCUCAAAAAGCCGAUCGUAGUCCGGAUUGGAGUCUGCAACUCGACUCCAUGAAGUCGGAAUCGCUAGUAAUCGCGGAUCAGAAUGCCGCGGUGAAUACGUUCCCGGGCCUUGUACACACCGCCCGUCACACCAUGGGAGUUUGUUGCACCAGAAGUAGCUAGCCUAACUGCAAAGAGGGCGGUUACCACGGUGUGGCCGAUGACUGGGGAGAAGUCGUAACAAGGUAGCCGUAGGGGAACCUGCGGCUGGAUCACCUCCUUAACGAA